GGAAACAAGGUUUCCGUAGGUGAACCUGCGGAAGGAUCAUUACAACAAGGUUCCCUGGCCCUCGAAGCUUCGGCGGAGGGGGCUACAGCCUGACUUUAUACCCACCCUUUGCCUAUGUGUACCCCUAUUGCUUCCCUCGGCGGGUUCGCCCGCCGACAGGAACCAACUAAACCCUUUGCAUUAUACAUUUAACACUUCCGAUACAAAACUAAAUUAUUACAACUUUUAACAAUGGAUCUCUUGGUUCUGGCAUCGAUGAAGAACGCAGCGAAAUGCGAUAAGUAGUGUGAAUUGCAGAAUUCAGUGAAUCAUCGAAUCUUUGAACGCACAUUGCGCCCCUCGGUAUUCCGUGGGGCAUGCCUGUUCGAGCGUCAUUUACACCCUCAAGCUAUGCUUGGUGUUGGGCGUCUGUCCCGCCUUCGUGCGCGGACUCGCCUCAAAGUCAUUGGCAGCGGUCUCGUCGGCUUCUCGCGCAGCACAUUUGCGCUUCUCGCGUCCAGCAAGCGAUUUCAUGACUUGACCUCGGAUCAGGUAGGGAUACCCGCUGAACUUAAGCAUAUCAAUAAGCGGAGGA
rnacentral:rRNA from 1 species